AGUGAACGCUGGCGGUAGGCCUAACACAUGCAAGUCGAACGGCAGCACAGUAAGAGCUUGCUCUUACGGGUGGCGAGUGGCGGACGGGUGAGGAAUACAUCGGAAUCUACUUUUUCGUGGGGGAUAACGUAGGGAAGCUUACGCUAAUACCGCAUACGACCUACGGGUGAAAGCGGGGGAUCUUCGGACCUUGCGCGAUUGAAUGAGCCGAUGUCGGAUUAGCUAGUUGGCGGGGUAAAGGCCCACCAAGGCGACGAUCCGUAGCUGGUCUGAGAGGAUGAUCAGCCACACUGGAACUGAGACACGGUCCAGACUCCUACGGGAGGCAGCAGUGGGGAAUAUUGGACAAUGGGCGCAAGCCUGAUCCAGCCAUACCGCGUGGGUGAAGAAGGCCUUCGGGUUGUAAAGCCCUUUUGUUGGGAAAGAAAAGCAGCAGGUUAAUACCCCGCUGUUCUGACGGUACCCAAAGAAUAAGCACCGGCUAACUUCGUG
rnacentral:rRNA from 1 species